rnacentral:rRNA from 1 species
CACAAACUUUAAUUUACAACCAACCCGCCAGAGAACUACGAGCCACGCUUAAAACUCAAAGGACUUGACGGUGCCCUAUAUCCAACUAGAGGAGCCUGUCCUAUAAUCGAUGAUCCCCGCUAAACCUCACCCCCCUUAGCCUACCAGCCUGUAUACUUCCGUCGCCAGUCUACCACGUGAGCGCAAUUCAGUAGGCCCUUCGUUAUCCACAUAAACGCCAGGUCAAAGUGCAGCAAAUAGGGGGGGAAGAGAUGGGCUACAUUCUCUAUAACUAGAGUAUACGAAAAGCUACAUGAAACCUAGCUAGAAGGCGGAUUUAGAAGUAAGAAGGGAGUAGAGUGCUCUUCUGAACACGGCCCUGGGGUGUGUACACACCGCCCGUCACCCUCCUCAAGGCCCCCUAAUCAGUACAUAACACUAGACAGCCAUAAAG